CAGAACACACAAGGUGACAGUUUAAUGCUUCGGACUUUGCAAGGAGCAGAGCUGAGGUGUGACAGUCGAGUUUGAGCGAUCACAGGACUUCCCGGGCAGGACAGGAGAAUGACAAAGCAUUUGAAAGUCAAAAACCAGUGUGUAGAAGAGACAUUGUAAUAAGAAACAAUUCAAACGGCCUUGCAACAUCAGCAAGUUCAUUUUCUCUUCUGUCUCAAGACCCUAAUGUGAGCUGAAUGCUCUCUAGUCCUGACUGCACCCUGCUUAUAGAAUGAAUAUGUGGUAGCAACUGAGACCAGGUAGGAUCUUCUGCUUUUAAAUGAAAACAUCCAGGCCUUGAGGCUGCCUUAUCUCCCAUGUGUCACCCUAAACCCACCUGUAAAGAGGUCACAGUUCUCCCAUCUUGUCUUUUCUAGAAGCUAAUAUUCUAGGAGGCACAGCAUAUGGAUACAGGGUUUUAGAAGCCCUGGUACAGUUCAAUUCAUUCAUUCACAAAACCAGCAGAAUCAGAACAACAACAACAACAACAACAACAACAACAACAACAAGUUGUUUAAAGUCAACAGUUCUUGAUCUUAGCCAAAAGGCCGAGAAGCGAUAAAGUCAACAGUUCUUUAAAGUAUAUCUGCAAGUUCUUCAAGGUCCGACCUUUAAAUGACUUAUCAACCCAUCUCUACAAAUUUCCACAGAUCUGCCUUGUUUCCCAGGGCCCGCCAUUCUUUUCCAAAGCUGCACUGUCUCUACCAUCGUGGCGAGCGGCAUUUUGCAAACUGCCUUAUUCUCUGAAAACAGAGAACAAGGUUCUUUUGGGGUUAAGAAGUCCUCGAACUGCGUUUACACCACCACUUCACUUCCUACGGUGCAUAAACAAGCAAGCAGCCACGGUGAGGCUCACACAUGCCCUACCUGCUAUUUCACGGUGCUGUGCACUUUCAACUGUUCUUUGCGCCCACCUAUGUGUGUGUUUUAUGGUCUGAAAAGUCACCUAACAGAAAAGUCGCCGGUUGUGGUGGUGCACGCCGGUAGGAUUUGCUGAAGGAGGCAGAGGCAGGAGGAUCACGAGUUCGAGGCCAGCCUGGGCUACACAUUUUUGGGGUUGGGGAUUUAGCUCAGUGGUAGAGCACUUGCCUAGCAAACGCAAGGCCCCGGGUUCGGUCCCCAGCUCCGAAAAAAAGAAAAAGGAAAAAAAAAAAGAAAAAAGAAAAGAAAAGUCACCGAAUAGGGGCUGCAUAUUCACCUAUUCAUCCCUGGAGAUGCUGGCGGACAAUUGCUUUGUGCCCUCAAGAGGACCCACUCACCACUUUACAGGCAUUUGGGGCAGACCUGCCCUGCCCCAGGGGCUGGUUUGUAUGUGCUGCUGUCACAACAGAAAUGGCAGUGCUGUCCCUGCUCCUGAGCAGCUAAUGGUGCACAGGGUUCCUCAUCGCGCAUCCACAGACAGACUGCCAUUAGAGAGGAAUGAAAGACCAUAAUAAAGUUUCCCUCCAUGGCAUCCUGCUACCGUCUCCCACCCUUCCUUCAGAGAAAUGGCUGGGCUUCCAUGCGGUGCCCUUCUGCCUCAUGGUGCCAACAGAAGGGUCUUCUGCCUGAUCCUUUAUCUUUCUCUCUCUUCUCUGCCCUCAGGGAGGGAACAUGGUAGUGGGGACAAACUGUCCAGAUGGCACUCUGUACAUUUGGCCUACAAGCUAUCAUAACCACGGAGCAACCAUGCACAGGAGAGUCAUUCCAAUAUCUGGGGACACAAGGAGCCCUGAGGAUGGGCAAGCCCCUGAUAUAAACUAGCAUAACGCUUGCAUGUAGCCCAGGCACAUUUUCCCACACACCUAAGUAACCUCUAGACUGCUUCUAAGGACAGUGAACGCAGGUGGUACACGAACGCUGCGCCCUCUGUGUUGGUGAGCAAAUAAAAUGGAGGGCUCUGUCUGCACUCAGUUUAUAGACAACUUUACAAGUACGUAAUCCAGCUUCCAUUGGUUUGAUCCAUACAUGUGGUAUCAGCGGACACAAGGGUUGACGAGACUGCUGAAAUUAAGACACUUCCUCCAAGCUACAUAAAUCCAUAAUGAAACCAGAUUCAAGGGCCAACCCUUGUUUAUUAGGACACAGGGACUUGAACAUAGUCACCCCAACUGAGUCAUAACGGUUCUCUAGGUGUUUCUAAUUAUAAGUAGCUGUUUUUCAUAAAAAUUCGAUCUCGUUUUGGCUUCCCCUUAUUCCAGGAGUUGUGCACAUUCCUUCAUGCAACAUCCCUUUUCCCUUGGAUUCAUCGUUUAAAACAGCAGUAAAAUGACAUUAAGUUCAAGCCAAGGUGGCAGCUCUUCAUGACCAGGUCGUGGGCCUCCUCAGUCCUCACUGACUGCACGGGAGUUUAUCUGCAGACCAAAGGCAACUUUGAGAUGCUGCCAUGGCAUGUGAGGUUCCGGGGAUGAGGAAGAGUUGUUCAGCGAGUGACCUCUGGCUUCCUUUUUAUGAAUGAAGACCAAGAUAAGAAUCUAUACACACUCGGGCUCUCUCUGCUCCUUCAUUCUGGACACCGCAGAAAUGGGAAUCAGCAGUGACAAAGAAUACCAAACCCCAAACCUGAGUUUAUUCUAGAAACUGGUCGAAUUCUGGAGAAAUCGAAAGAGCAACAUUUGGUCAAAUUUAUCAUCGCGCUUUCUUAAAACUAGCUUAGUGAGCUCAGACUUACGGGAGUCGCUAGCUGGAAGAUACAAUUACCGUGAUAUUCUGAUCCGCCAGGAUUCAUAGCCAGGAACUAAGUCACCUGGGAGUCAGUGUUGGAUAGAAGGGAGGGCAAAUGUCUUGAUGCAAGGGGGUUCUAGAGAAAGGGCUGCAAUGAAGGAGGGAACAGACAAACGUAAUGAAGGAUUAUGGGAGGAGCUGUUCAGGAAUCCAUGGCAACAGCAUGAGGAACAGAAGCCAAAGGCAUCAUACACAGAAGACUUUGCAACCCUGAGCAUGCAUGAGCUCUGCUGGUUCGAGGCUUACGGACCCAUGUUCUCAGCAGAGCCAAGUGGAGGGUGUUCCCCACUUUAUUACUGAAGCAUGCCAUACCUUGCAGGGUUAUGGAACAGAGAUGUGGGGUGAUGGCACCCAUGCAGGAAAGCAGGGUGCUUACUGAAUACUGCCAGCCAAGGUCCACAUAGCCUCCCUCAGGUAACCAGUUCAAAAACUCCCAAGUGGAUUCCUGAGAUGUCCAUGUGAGAAAUUUUUUCAGACUUUUGGAAAAGCAGGGUAAGAGAGACUUGCCCAGAACUUGAAAUGUCUUCAGUUGUGGAUAAAGCGUGGAGUGAAAGCUACUAUCGUGUUCAGCGUUGUCGGUGUUUGUGAGACCUGUGAUAGUCCAGCCAAAUGCAACAGAAAGACAGGCCGCUCUGUGAUUGACUCCUUUCGCACUUAGUAGGAGCAAUGCAACUGAAGCAAAAAUAACUAAACAAAAGGAGUAAGGGCACCGGACUUGAAAACCGAGUUCUGACCUGUCUCCCAAUCGAGCUGCCCUCAUAGGAUUGGGGGCCAUUCUGUUCGGUUUUCUCAGACAUUUGGGUCCACCACACCUUUUGCCUUGAAGCCAAACUAACCAGUGGCAUUAUAUACCAAAGGUACACUUUCUGGAGACCGCCUCUAGCAAGGCGAGUGAUGAGAACACGAUGCUUCCUUCUCCUCUCCAGUCCGUUCCCAGGACUCUGUCCCUGAAGCAGAGGCCAAGCCGGACACCCAAGCAGGACUUCCCGGACUCUGAUUUUGGAACUAAAAAUCAAUCCACCCAGAGCUCAAUGGGGAUCAAGUGAGGGGUGUGCCUGCUUGUGGGGGAUGCUGAGGUGGAUGCUCUGAGUUUCCUGAUCUAUAAGGUAGGGUUCCUAUCACCACCCCCUGGCACAAAGCCAGCUGGCUCCUCUAGAACACUGGGAAACAAGCUGCCAAGAAGAGAGAAUGGCAUCCUUUGCUUCCCCACAGACUGAAGGAAGGAUGCUCACAUCACCGGGGCCUUACGAGAGUCACCCUUAGGCUCCUGCAGAUAGUGUCUGUGAGACACAAAAGGAACUGGUGGUCCUCUAGUUGCUAAGAGGUAAAGACCUCUGAGAAGGUGGGUCUCAGUCAAACCCUACGAACCCCAGGGAGCCAACACACCUCCUAGAAAUCCAAGCAGGUUCUGAUUCUCAUUCCCAAAGUGUAGAGCAGUGGACAAGGAGGGGAACUAAGGCUUGUCAAUAAAGGGACUGUGAGCAAAGGUUCUGUGGACAUUACUGGAGAAAACAUAGAAGCAUUACUAAUACCAUUAUGUUAUUAUUGUUGUCGUUGUGAACUUGUAACCUCAUCGGGCUUUGGAUUAGUCAGGUCUCCAUCUGUGCCCAGAGCUAAGGCUGAAUCACAAGUCUCCAUACCCAAAUGCUGCCCGGAAAGAGCUGGUCUCUCAGGAGUGCUGUCGCUCCAAAGGUCACAGGUAAGCUUUAGACUGUAGAGUUUUGUUGCUCUCAGACUACAAAUAGCAGUGCCUCAUUCCUUUAGAAAAGACUGGUGUUACUUCUGAAUCUGAGAUGUUGCUCCAGGCUCGAGUGUUGGGGGUUUGGUUGCUACCUGGCGGGAUUUGGGGAACUCAUUGGAUCCAGGAGGCUCCAACUUCACAGGGAGAUUACUCUGGAUGAAGUCAUAGCUUUGUGGCAUUAUUGGAAGUGAUGGAAAAUGAAAUGUGGGGCCGAGUUGGAGGAAACACAUUCCCGAGGUCAUGCCCCUAGAGAGCACAUUGCAUCACAUCUCAUGCCAGCCCCUUCUCUCUAUGCUUCCCCAUUGCUGGAAGGUGAGCUCUUCUGUCCUACCACAGGUCCCAGAACAAAUGAACUUUCACCUUUUGAAAUGUUCCACAAAGAACUAACACGAGGCAUAAAUGUAUGCACACCCUCUGACAGAAACUCCACUCCUGAGUAUGUCAAGAUGAAAGGGAGCUUGAGGCCAUCAAGAAACUGGUACAAGGAUAAUCAUAAUGUUAUUCACAGUGGCCUAAAACCACAAACAGCUAAAAGCGUAUUGGGGCUAUUGGGGGAAGACAGUUCAGCCUUGCAAGCUAAACUCAGAUGUGGCACUGAAUGCUUCUAACUCCUGUGAUGGAAUAAAAAGGGUUGGAGAGGCAGACAGUACCUGAGGAACUGCACCCAAAGCUGUCCUCUGAAGCAUGUCCACAACCAUGCACACACACACACACACACACACACACACACACACACUCACACACACGUAAGUGACCAGUACACCGAUAGUUGAUUUGACUAACAAGCUAUUAUGUUCAUAGAAUUUCAAACAGUAUUGGAAAGAGAAGGAAUUACUGGUGUGGCCAAUUCCACUGGUGACUCUCAGGGACAUAAUGUUAAACAAAACAAGGUAAGACCAACAGAUAUGACAUGAUUUCACUUACAUGUGGUUCAAAACAGUCUGAAAGUGGCUGUACGACUCGGUGGCUUGCAGGAGUCAGCCAGUGAGCUUUGGAAGGCUUGUUUCUCUACACAGUGCACACACAGUAAUAGAGCACUGAGCUUGAGGACUUAAAAUCUAAGCAUUUUCUGUGUUGAAGCUACAUCUCAUUUUUAAAAAAACCAAAGGUUAUGAAUUUUUUAAAAGAACAAAUUAUUAAUGCACUUACUAGUACAUGGAAUCAAUUAGAAACCAAAAAGAAAAAAAGCUAGCCAAUCUUGGAGCACUGGUUCUCUGUUGGGGUAAAUACUAAAAUUGUGGAGUCUUUAUCCUGCAUUAGCAUCUGUACCCACAGGGCCACACGGUACUGCAGUUUUUAUCUCAGUGACUCCACACUGCCCCCAAGUACUCUCGGGCCCAGGCAGUCUAUGAGCUGAUCUAGUGUGGCACCUUACCACGCUGGUCCCUUGAGUUAGUUCCAGCACCAGGGGCCAUAUGGGACUAACCAUAAUUUAUCUCUGGUUAGUAUCUCUCUACUAGCUGUGAACCCUCUGGUUUCAGCUACCCAGUAAGAUCAAGACUCAACAAACUGGAACCCAGCAAUCAGAUUUAUAUGUUAAAUCCACAAUACAGCCGCACGAUAAACUCACAUCCAAUUGAUGAUAUAAACCGUCCACCUAGAUAAGAUGAACUGACCUAUAGAAAUCCACUCCUUAAAAGAUAGACAUGACUACCUAGAGCCAUUCCAGACCACCCGGAUCUGGGUCAUCCUUCUCCGUCUCCAUCUUCAUUCUCUCCCUUUCCCUUCUCUCCCGCCUUACAAAAGCUUUGUCCCCACCUUACAGUUUUAUUGUCCAGUCAUGGCCUUGACCUAACUUGUGCCAGCCCUCACCUACAUAUAGACAUCAACCUACAGUUCUCAACCUUCCUAACACUGCAACCCUUUAACGCAGCUCCUCGUGUUGUGAUGCCCAUCAGUCAUAAAACUAUUUUCUUGCUACUUCAAGCUGUAUGUAAAUAUCUGAUGUGCAGGAUAACUUACAUUCUGCUCCAAAGGGGUCACAACCCACAAGUUGAGAACUGCUGUGGUAGAGACUUACAAAACCUUGGAUUAAACAAACGUCUAUGGCCACUUGAUGAACAACUGGUAGGCUAACAAUGUAACUUUAUUCCAAAUUGUUAUAAAUUAUUAUUAUUAUUAUUAUUAUUAUUAUUAUUAUUAUUAUACUCUGUGUGUGUGUGUGUGUGUGUGUGUGUGAGAGAGAGAGAGAGAGAGAGAGAGAGAGAGAGAGAGACUGAGACCAGAUGCCUCAGAGGGCACAGAUGAUCCCUGGCCCUGGAGUUAAAAGAACUUGUGAUCUGCCCAACUUGGGUACUGGCAACCAAACAUGGGGUCUUCCAGAGCAGUACUCACUCUUAGCCAUUGAACUACCUCUUCAGCCCCUUAGAGCAACAGAUUUCUAAAGCCCUUCUUAGGAAGAAAAAGGUAUCAAAGGGACUUCAGUGGCGGAGGAAACUGCUCUGACUGUCCCAACCUCCCCUCUCUGAAAGGAAUAGGCUAUCCUACCUCUGCCUGGCCGCUGGGUGCAGGGUAGGUCAUUUGCCAUGGAGAGAAUGAGUAGAUCUGUCUUUGAACCAGUGGAAGCUUCAUCCAAAACCAAUGUGGAGACUCUCAUGUCUCAGGUUCAGCGUCAGUCAUCGCACACCAACUCUGUAAGGCAGAUGCCAUGAUCUCUACUUACAAAUGGAAGAAAUGGCUCAGAAAAGGCCAUUUCUCUUCCCUUGACCCAGCAUCACUAACGAGUGCUAGGGGAGGCAUUUUCUAUGGACAGUUUCACUCCAGAGUCACCCAAUGGCUACAAAUGAAUGGGAAAUUGUACUACCCGAUGCUUCAGAUAUCAUAAAUAGCACAGAGCCCGUGUUCACCAGUAAAUCCGGGGCUAACGACACUGCUGGAGAUGGGGAGUCACAUUAUGUCACACUCUUUGGGAGUUUAAAAAAAACACUAAAGUACUUUAGAAAACCAGAAGGAACAUUUUUAUGGGCAUAAUAAAGACUUUCCAGGGUUGCAGAAAUAGCUCAGCAGUGAAGUGCUUAUAGCACAAACAUAAGGACCCGGCUUGGAUGCCAGCACCACAGAAAGCACAGACAGUGACCCUGCAAUCUGGACACUGGGGAAGCAGUAACAGGAGGGUCCCUGGGGCUUGCUAACCAGCUAGUCUAGUAGAAUUUCAUGAAAUGGGGUUCAAGGAGAAGUCAGCUUCUGGUCUUCACAUACACCUAUAUGCACAUUGCGUGCACACCUACAUGUAUGUGUGCACAUACACAAACAUGUUCUCUCUCUCUCUCUCCCCCCCCACACACACGCACCUGCAUGCAUACAUGCACACACAGAAUAUUUGUAUGCUAAUAGGUAGUGUAGCUGUAGAAUAAAACCAAAAGAAGUAGCUGUCCCAGGGUGGAUCAAGAACAAACGCUGUAUGGUCGUUCCUCAUUUAUUCACAUAGCUCCUGCACGGCACAUCCCUGGAAAAGAGAGCUCACACCUUUCCUUUCCAGGCCAGCCUUUCAAAGGGAUUUCCUUGUAGCAACCUGGGCAGAAGGUGGUACUUAGGAGUACCUCGGAAACAUCUACAAGCCUGAAGAAGGGGACUCCCUCUGAGACUCCUAGCAAGGCUGUCUUUUACCAGUGAGCCCCAAAUCACCUUAGGAAAUGACAGAAGGGAUGGCCUUUCAAAAUACCAGAUCACCCUGGUAAUGCUAGAGGGCCUCCAGGUCUCCCUACAACUUCCAAAGCAGUGUGGAAUGAUAAGGUCAACAUCAAGGCGGCGGCCUCUCUUCUGGUGUGUUCUGCCUGCUCCGGAUGCUACUUUCAUGGCUUCUUAACAGAAAAAUGAAACAGUGCUGCCUUCUUACCCUUGUCUCAUCUCUAAGUCAAGACAAAGGCUUCUUCAAGGAAGCUUUCUCCAAAGGACAUCGGCUGAAAGGCCCUCCUCGGAAGGACGCAACACCUGUCUCUCCCAUCCGUCCUGGGUAGACACUGGCAGUGGCUUCGGGGGAAGCAGCAGGUUGCUGGCACUGGCCCUCUGCCCUUCCCCUCGCAGGCUACCAAGUUCAGGUGUUUUGUGGCAAGCCGCCAGUUCAAGCCCUAAUUAAUUAAAGGACUUUCUUUGCUGAGGAUAUUGGGCAUGUUGACAUCUCGGUUGGACGCUUGAGCUCAUGGAGGCUUUGGAAGAGCAGCUCUGCCUUCAUCCAGUUUGAUCUGCCCAGUGGGAGAAAGCAAGCGCCCAGAGUUGCAAUAAUCAUAUUAAGUACCAGGUUCCUUUGCCAAAGCACACUGUACUCUUUUCUUUAUCCUUCCCUUGAGGGAAACUCCCACUGAGUCGUUUACUGGGUUCUCUGCUUAUCUUGCAAUUCCACACCGACAGCAUCAUUUUUUUCCCAACAUACGUAGGCAGUUCCACAGGGCUGCAUGGUCCGUGGUUUUUAAAGGAGAUCGUUACAUUUAGGCUCAACCCAAACCAGAGCAGGACAGAGUUGCUGGUCCUUUGCGAUCCUACGUCAGAGGUGAGUCCCUAGUGAGGGAGACAGGGACAGACGACCUCCAGCCCCUGAAUCAGAACAGAAAUAGCCUUUGGGAACCGUGCAGGCAGAAAUCUAUUUAGAAACCCAGAGAGGCAUUUAGGCAUUAAGAGGAGUUAGCAGCUCUCCCAAUCCAAAGAGGAGCAUCUGCAGCCUGCUCUCUGCUAACAGCAUUUACCUCAUGCAUGUGUCAUAGAACUUUAGCCUUUUGUGGUUUAGUUACCCUGGAGCAGUGCUCUCUCUCCAACAUGGAAUCAUUGACUAACUUGUAACCCAAGUUCGUUUGAUUUUGGCUCUUCGAAUUAUCUUCUAAGACCCUCUAAUAAUUAAAUAAUUGAUUGCAGGUGAAUCCAACCAUCUUCUCUACCAGGGUCUAAAGAGUUAAAUAAAGGUUACUCGUCUGUGGCAGGCUGGGAAGAUGGAAACAGUUUAUGAUCAUCGAUACCUUGUUACCUUAAAUGCAAGGUAGACGUGUGAGAAUAAGGAAGAAAGGACUGGACGGACAAGAUAGGAACAAAGAAGCUACCACUGAGAAGUUUUUCAGAAAAGACAGAAGAACAAAGAAAGGGAUCCUUCACAGGCUGGAGAUUACAGUGCAGAGGGGCAUCGUGCGUGGUUAUAUCUACUUACAGAGUCAGAAUGGACCAUUUCCCCAGCACAAUGAAUGUUUUGUAUUCAAAGCCACAGUCAUGAUGAAAUGCUAGGGAACUAAGUCUUUUUGUUAAUCCUCGAAAUAAAUGUAUUCAAGCAGCUAUAAUCCCCAUAAAUAUAAGCAGGCUUCAGGUGCCAAGCUGAAUUUGCCUAAUCUGACACUUAACUCUGUUUGAGCUGGGUAGGAACAAAAGGUAGGCUGUGAAAAACAGGUUGCACAAAAAUCUGACAAUCAAUCCAGAGCUCGCCCUUGUCCAAAGGGAAGGCAGAGCUGAGGGUACUCAUGUUUGAACUUCGCGAAAUGUCACAAAAUCUGCACCUAACACCCCGCAUUUUCUAAUGAAAUAGUUUAAUCGGCAAUGCCCUUGGGACGUCAGGGCCGAUGUCGGCGCCUCUGCUGCUGAUAUUGUCGUUAUCGAUAGGAUUCUGACCGUGCAAAACUAACCCACGGUGGCUCAUUUUCUGCAGAGAUUAUUAAACGCAUCCCUCAUUCUCGAUGAGUCAUCCAUUGCCCAUUACCUAAUCCAUCAUCAUUGUUUGAAAGCCCAUGGUACACAAGUUACAAUACACAGUAAGUAUUUCAUGUAAUUUUCCAAAACAGAGCUCUGUUCCCUAUGAGAGGUCUGAAAGGUGUUGCCCUGGAAUGGAGCACAGAUGCCUGUAAAAUUCCUUUAGCUCUUAUUCAAAAAUUACUUUCUCUCGUCUCCUUCUCAAUAUGCCCUGCGAGUUUUUUUCCAUCCCUCUAAAUUCUUGCCUUGCAAAGUAAAGGAAGGAAAACUAAGAAACUGAGAGGAAAACGUAAGAGUUCCGAGACAAAGGGCAUGAGGGAAAAGAUAGCAAGGAAAUAGGACGGGUAAGGUGCGGGCGAAGCCCUGGGCAGCGGUGCUCAAACCUGCUUAGUUCCUGUCCAUCUCUGUGACCUUUCUGUGGAGAACAGCCCUCCAGACUCUCGGUCCAGAAGUUUGGGUGACCCUAAUCAGUGCCCAGGCCUGCUCAGUCAACACGGUCAAUCCUCCAGACACUGUGAUUUAUUCAUGGGUGGCUACUCCACCACACGGGGUCAGGAAGGGUCAAUUCUGGGGGUUUGCUUUGAAUUCAGAUAAAGACAAACUCUUUUUACAAGUUGGUCAGUCGGUAGCCAGUUUUCCAUUUCACGGGAGGAUCCUGUUGCGUGCUGAAACCAAAGCUGUCGGAAGUGCGAGCAGACGCGAGGAAGGACAGAGAGAGAUUCCCAGGAAUAUCACUUCACUCAAGCAUCUGAAUGUGCCCGGGCCCAGAGUCAACUCUCCCUGGCUUUUGCCCAAUUGUAUUUGGCGUUUUCCUCAAGUCACUUGGAGCUGGUUCAUGGCACUUAUAGCAAUGUGACACCGAGUUCAAAUUACCGCCAUAUUACAUACAUUUGCUAAUGAAUUAGUGAUAGGAACAAGACUCACGUUCAUAAACGAGGUGAUUUAAUAAAUAGUGAAAAACCCUCACAUUGACCUGAGGUGAUAGUUAGAGUAAGCGAGAGGCACUCCAGAAGCUACUUAUGUUCUUUAAAAGUGGUUAAGGAAACAACUUGAACCACACCAACAGACAGCGUCUCCGUCUGCGUCUUUCUACUGGGUGACCUUAGUCAAGUUAAUUAACUCUCUCUUCGCCUCUGUUUCCUCAUCUGGAAAUAGAGAUGGUAACUGUACCUCAUGAGGACUAAAUGGAUUAAUCCCCUCAAAGGGAUUAUUAGAGCCACUGGCAAAUAUGAACUUCCAAUAGCCGUUAAGUUUAUUUAAUAUUCAAUAAAUGCUCGUCUGUUACUUUCGGCCUCAAUAGCCUCUUCCCUCCUCAGCAUUUGCUCUUGCCACACCCAAGCCUGCAUCUUGCCUGCAUCUUGUUCCCUCUACCUGGAAUGCUUUCUCCCCAAAAUCUGCACAACCAACUCUUCCACCCCCUCCUCUUCAAGCAAACGAAACCUUCUGAGUGGCCACAGAUUAAUUAAGAAUUGCCAUGUACAGAGUCUAUAUCUGUAACCGAGAGAAUACGUUUUGAAUAGCAGCGAUAAUUUUACCUACUCUGAAGUACCCUGAACUGGUACUUGAAGAAAUGGCUUGUGUUACUACAACAACCGUCACUAUGUUCUGUCAUAGCACGUAAUAUAAACUGAGAGUUUUAGAGCUGACAAUGAUCUGAGAGGUCAUCUCCAGUAAGGGGGAGAAAUGACCAUCCCCGAACAUCCAUGCUUUGUUGACUCCAGUCUUGGACCUGCAGGGGAACUCACAGGUCCCCACCCUGCACCUGUUUCGCUGAACAGCUUUGAGGUCAUCAGACACAGCUGCCAUUGUGUGUGUGUGUGUGUGUGUGUGUGUGUGUGUGUGUGUGUGUGGUUGGCUUGAGCAAUGAUUUAGGAGAUUAACAAUCACCAAAGUGUAGCAUUAAAAUAAAGGAAAUCAACACAGAAAGAAGGGGGGGCAUUGCUUUUGCCUAUGCGGGGCAGAUCAUUUACAUAAACAAAAGGGAACUCGCAGAGAGAAGAGCCAAGUCUAAGGUCGCAAUUACCUCAAUUGUAGAGUAACUUGUUCCCAUCCUGAGUAACAAUAGCCAGAGCGAUCAUUCUUAAUUGAGGUAAAUUAAGUAUUCUGACUGCACCACUUUUAUCAAAAGACUUGCAAGCCAGUGAAGAGAUCCAAUUUACAAACCCUCCCCCUUCUCCAUGCUGAUUCAUGGCUUCAUCUUUCCUGCUGCUUCUCAGUCAGUGUUCUUUGCCUAGACUUAGAAAAACAAGAUAAAAUGUCUGCGUCAAUGCUCACCCCCCAACGGACAUUAUCGGGAAUUAAGUGUGUGUGUGUGUGUGUGUGUGUGUGUGUGUGUGUGUGUGUGUGUCUGUGUGUGUGUAUGUCUGUGUAUGUGUACGUCUGUGUGUAUGUGUGUGUGUGUAUGUGUGUGUGUGUGUCUGUGUGUGUGUGUAUGUUUGCAUAUGUCUGUGUGUGUGUAUGUCUGUGUGUGUAUGUGUGUGUGUAUGUCCGUGUAUGUGUACGUCUGUGUGUGUAUGUGUGUGUGUGUGUCUGUGUGUGUGUAUGUUUGCAUAUGUCUGUGUGUGUGUAUGUCUGUGUGUGUGUAUGUGUGUGUGUAUGUCUGUGUGUGUAUGUCUGUGUGUGUGUAUGUGUGUGUGUCUGUGUGUGUGUGUCUGUGUGUGUGUCUGUGUGUGUGUGUCUGUGUGUGUGUAUGUUGGUGUGUGUGUGUGUGUGUAUGUCUGUGUAUGUGUACAUCUGUGUGUGUAUGUGUGUGUGUAUGUCUGUGUACGUCUGUGUGUGUAUCUGUGUGUGUGUCUGUGUGUGUGUAUGUUUGCAUAUGUAUGUGUGUGUGUAUGUGUGUGUGUAUGUCUGUAUGUGUGUGUGUAUGUGUGUGUGUGUGUCUCUGUGUGUGUGUGUGUGUAUGUCGGUGUGUGUGUGUGUGUAUUUGUGUGUGUGCUUGAAUGCUAACAUACCAAAUAACUAAAGCCCUGUUUUGGUUAUGGAAGAUUUUGGAAAAUCCAAAAGGAUAAUACUGAGGGAGGGGAGGAGAGAAGGAGAGAGAGAGCACUUGUGCUAAUGCCCUGGAGGCGUGACAAUACAGCAACCUAGAAGAUAAACUCUGUCGCAAAGGUAACACAUUUUCAGCCACAGGGUCACCAUAACAUCUUCAGGGCCUGAGAAAGAAACACGUGGAAUUGAGCUGGCAACGAUUCAGCUAAACAGUGCAGUGGGUGGCGGCCAUCUACAGAACACCAGUGCAAUCAUUAGAUGCCCUAUUCACGUUCAGUUUGCAAGCAUAGUCAACGUGCCUUCACGGCUACCACCCUGAAGUCCUUUUGGGCAGUUGGGGAUUGCUACAACAAAAAGCCCCACGUAUCUUGUAUCAGGUGUCCCUGGGGGUGGGGCAUGCUGCUAAUUACCACCGUUUCGUUAUGCAGGCAGCUAUGUCUGAAGCGCUGGCUGCAAAGGUCACUGUCUUGAAACUUGUUUCCAUGCAGCUGUGGCACAAUUAAAGCUUUAAGGGAGCCAGAGAGCUGCAUUUCCAGGCAUUUGCCCUCAACUGCCUUCUUCCUAUUAGCAAGGCUGCCCAUGGCGAGUGCAUCAUAAAAUCCUCAGACUUGACUUGCUGUAGUGAGAGAGGCUUCUAGAACAGAGCAAUGGCUGUCCUCCCACCCAAGAAAAUGCUCACAGGCCAAGUGCCGCUGCUCGUGUGUCUCUGAUGACACCGCAUUUGCUGCCAGGAAAUGGCAAAUGUGUGGUCACGGUUUACUCUUUGACUCUCCCUCGGACUCCGAAAUGCUAAGGAAAACUCGAAUGCUGUUCUGUGGAUCAUGAGACUAUUUUCUAUGAGCCAUUUUAAACACUGUCAACUAUAGCAACCUGGUUUGACCUGGAGCAUGGGUGAAUCCUUCCCUUCAGAAAUUUCAUCUUCGGAAGCUUAAGAUGAAAAUAUUCUCGGCAUAAGGAUGCGGCAGGAGACAUUGAGGGAGUCACCAGUGUCCACCCUACGCAAUUACCUUCAUGGCUUCUGCCCUGGAACUGUGCACUCCCUCACAUUAGCACAUUAUAUUGCCAGCCAGUGCCACACUCCACCGAAAGGCCUCCUUUUUCACGAGAAGAGCCCAUACCAGACCAUAGCAUUGACACUACUUAACCAAGACUAUAACAGCAAGUGAUUCUUCUCCUCAACAUAGGAGACCACUAGAAGGGCCAACAUUUUGAAGAAGCGAUCCAUCAAUAUUUAUUUGAGGGAGACGGUAUUUGGUAGCCGAUUCUCUCUCUCCCUAAGCAGGUAAGAGCAUCCUGUCUGUGAAUGUUCUAGGUUCUGGCAGAGAAAGAAUGGACUCCCUCUUCCCCAACUCGUUCAGUUUAAGUGUCUACAGACCUUUGGAACAAUUGAGCUAUGGACAGUUAUGAAUUAGUAAGGGAAAACACACCCUUCUCUGAUUAGAAAGGUUUCUGUGUCAUUUGUUAAGAAAUGCUUUGCUUCUACAGAACCGGACGGACAGCAAAACCGAACUCGAAUUCAUGUUGAUUAUUAGGAAUUAGAGCAGCUAAGAACUAAUGCCCCUGUGAGAGUUUCUCCAGCUACACUGUAGCUAACUUUUUUCCCUCCAAAUGCUGGUGUUGGCCAAGUUUGUUGUUGGCACUUUUCACUGAUAUCGCUGCUCUUCUAGACCAAAGAGAAAAAGUCAGUCAGAGCCAGCAAGGCUCAAACUACUCCCAGCAAGUUCAGCAGCCAAAUAAUAACAGCCUUGACUUACAGAGAUGCUACUAUAAGAACUUUACACAGAUUCACAUAGUCAAUCCUCACAAUAGUUCUGUAAGUGGGCAUAGCUAUUUCUCUCUGUUAACAGAAGAGAUAGAUAAGGCACUGAGAGGCUACAAAAUAGACAAAACCCUAGGACUGUGGGUGGGAAUUCUAGAGUUAAGCUUCUUAGAGCCACUACCUUCCUCCCUCAGAAGAGUGAAACAAACAAACACCCUCAAGGACAGAAACUAAAACCAGGCUGUGGGCCCUGAAAGGAGGAUACAUGGAAGCCAGACACUGCAAGCAAGUGCCAGGAACACCUUCUUGCUGAGAUAGGGGGUUGGGGGGGAGAAGGAGAGGGAUACGUAGGAGAGGGAGGCCAUAGUAGCUGCCCUUUGUUCAAUGGCAAAACAAUCUAAUUCCCAUAAACUGGGGACCUGUGUUCACAUGUGGGGAAGGGAUGAGAACUCUGAAAAUGUGCACAAGUCAAUCUGUUCCCAGGAGAGAGCCCUACAGCUCUGCAAAGCCAGCCUUCUAUCAAAAACGAGGCUUCCCAAAACACUACUUCUAAAAUAGAUGGCAUUUAAAUGUUUUUGGAAUGUCACCCCUUGCUGUGGCUGCUCCAGAACAUGGUACUAUGUCAUCUCAAAAGGGAACCGAGGGCUGACUUCAUCUCUGUGCCCAUCUCAGGCAUGGGAAGAAGUCAUCGUGACCUCUGAGCCUGAGAAUUCCGCCAAGAAGCUGGGAGUCAUGAGAAUCUAUCCAGCCAGCUUGUGGAAUUCAGCGGAUGCCAGUUAGACAUUGUAUAUAUGCCAGAAAGGCACGACUGUACCUUACUGCUAUGGGCCAUGCUGGCUACUGUUGAGGUUCAUAGGCUUCAGGCUUGCAUUGUGCUGUCUGCUUCCCUGCUUUGGAGGCUUUCACGGCAACUUCAGCUACCAGCUCAGAGAUCUCUGGGCCGUUUCUGAAGUGCAUGGUGUCUUCAGCAGUAGGGAAGGCCUUCUUCCUCUGGGGUAAACCAAGGGCAAUGGUAAUAGGCCAUAUGCUAUGAGAGUCUCUUGGACAGAGUUGGGCAACUCAAGAGUGAGCUUCUCAUGUCUGGUAUUGAGGGGUUUUGUGUGGUGGUUGUUUGCUCUUGGAGGGAGCAUUGCUAACCCAGAUGAGAAAAAGUUUAAACUGCUUAUUUAUAUUUGUACACAGAAUUGUGUGUAUUAUAGAGGUUUGACCUUUUGUUUGCUUUUUGGGGGUUUUGUCGUUGUUUGGUGUAGGUUGACGUCAUUAUGCAGGUGAAGGCAGACGAGAUAAAACGAGGCCUGCCAUUGGACAAGAAGGAAGGGAGGCGGGAACAGGUUUUAGAAGGGAGGGAGAAGCAGAUGGGAAGGAGCUGGGAGAACGUGGCGGAAGAUGUUAAGAUUCUCCUCUUCAUGGAUACAGGUUGAUAUGACUAUUUUUAAGGGAUGAGUAUUUUUAAGGGGUUUCAUGCUGUCUAGAUGGGCAACUUAUAUCUUACCUAUUGGAUCAGAGGUUAUUGUGUGGUGUGUUCAUUUAUGGGCAACUUAAUUGAGUUCAAGAGAGUAUGUGGGUACAAGAUGCACCAAGCCGGCCAUGGAAUUGGGCUGUGUAUGCCUGGCAUGGUGGCAACCCUCUAAGGGAACUGUGAGUGAGGGCAGGGCAGCAUGGCAGGGUGCUGCACUGGAAUGACUCUUGGACCACCCAAGUCAGAGGGAGCCCGGGAGAGAAAGAGCAGUAUGCGUGGGUUUUUACUGCGACAGUUUGGUAUUUAGAGUUUUUUGUUUGUUUGUUUGUUCUUUGUUUUUUGUUUUUGGUUUUUGGUUUUUGGUUUUUGGUUUGUUUUUUUUUAAUUUUUGGGUGUUUUAGUUUGGUUUGGUUUUAGGUUGGGGGUUUGGUUUGUUCGUUUACUUGUUUGUUUUUGUUGUUUUGUUUUUUGAGUAAAUAGUUAAUAGCAUGUAUAUUCCUUAUAGCUUUCUUGGGCAUCCUUACUGUUAGUUUGCUCUCCCCAGUUCACCUUCUGCAUUUAUAUCCCUCUCCCUCCCCAAAGCGUCCCCUCUCCUAUUCUCCGGACCAGGUCACUUGAACCUUGCUGUUCCCCUGGUUUACUCCCAACAAUCUUCUCACACCCUCUUCUGCAUCGCUGCUCCCUGAAUUGGUACAAGAAAGCACAUGUAGAUGUAGCCACUGGGCCUGGGUCCACCGCUCUGCAUGCUGAUUGGUUGGAGUUUUCCUACAGUCAUCUCUGCUUGCUGCAAAGAGGACUUCCCUUGACAAGGGAUGAACACUAAACUUAUCUGUCGGCAUAAGGUUGGGUGUUUAAGCUGUUGCUGGGAAUUAAGCUGGUUUAGUAGAGUAGCGGCUGGAGGUUCUCCAAUAACCAUAACUUUGCCAGCACCAAAUAGAUGUAGGUUUCUAUUACCAGGCAUGGUUUCCCUCUUGCUGCCAACAGAUGGAGGAAUUCACUGUGAGGUUGUGACUCCUAGUAAUGUUGGAAACAACACCCAUACAGUCUCUCACCAACACAUCUGCCAGAGCAUGAUCUGAACCAGGAUGACACCAAGAGAGACGCCAAAGCAGCCGGGAAAGCCUUAACCAUGAGAGACUACAGGUGGCUGGGGGACACUGAGUGGGAGAGAGGAAGGGAUGUUGUACUUCUUCCCAAUGAAGAGCUCACUGAAUGCUAAUCCAACGCCAAAUAGCCCUAAAAGCGUGUAUACAGACUGAGCAGGUUAUAUUUAGUAAUGCAUAUACAUAUACAUAUAUAUGUACAUACGUAUAUGAUAUACAUGCCAUAACAAUUUAUGCAAAAAAGGUCCACAUAUCUGAAAGAGCAAGGCAAGUAUAUGACUUUAGGGCAAAGAAAGGGAAGGGAGAAAUGUUGUAGUUAUAAUCUCAAAAUGUAAAAAUAAAUGAAUAGCAGAAAAAGAAAGAAGGACACAUCACAGCGUCAAAGGUUGGAGAGUUGAGCAUGAAUAACUACCUUAGCUGUCAGUAUCGCCACCCCUUACCUAGGGACCCGCUCGUCUGUUAUUGAUCAAAAGCUCAAGAUACCACUCUCACACGGUGCAUGCUUUAGUCGCCUCCUGCAGGAAAAUUAUCAAUGUAGUUAGGUGCCAUCGCUUCACGCUAGAGGUAAAGUUUCAUCUGGGAAGCUCGGCGUCUACACAGACACAUUCUCUGUAUGCUAACAUGUGCUUAGCGACAGGAGGAGGGAGGCCCCUAAGUCAAGGUCUCAUGUUGGAAGAAACAAAUAUCUCACAAAAUUACCACUACUGAGAAGUGGGUCUCCUUUAUGUUAUCACAUUAUCAUCACAAACGCCCAAACUAAUACUCUUGGAGUUUUCAUCAUUGUUGUUGUUUCAAGACAGGGUAUCACUGUGCAGCCAUGGUUGGCCUUGAACUCAUAGGAAUAUACCUGUCUCUGCCUCCUAAGUGCUGGGCUUAAAGGAAUGUGGCACCAUCCAAACCCAAAACAAAUACUGUUUUACAUGGCUAGUUUUCUAAAUUAUCUAUUAAAUUAGGUUUUACAUCAAACUUUUUACGCUAUCUAUUAAAAUGAUCAUUUUCAUAGGUUAAAAUGAAAAUGCCAGGAGUACAGAAACAUACAAAGAAGAAAUCAAAAUAAACAGGGAUAUAUAACAAGCCACCAAAAAUGCUUUCUGAAUUUUCUUUUACUUUAAACGUUUGUUUUAUUUAUUUAUUUAUUUAGCAAGUACGGGAUGGUGUUUGCAUGUGCAUCUGCAUACCACAUACACGUGUUUGGUGUCCACAGAGGUCAGGAGAGCAUGUUGGACCCCCUGGAAUUACAGCAAGUUGUGAGAUGUAGUUACGAAUGGCUGUGAACAGCCAUGUAGGGUCUGGAAGUCCUCUGGAAAAGCAGCCUGUGCUCUUAACGUCUGAGCUGUCUCUGUAGUCCCACUUUCUGAAUUUUGAAAGCGAAGUUCUAACCUGAGAAUCCUAGUGUUAUGGCUGUAGGCAAGGAUUCUGGAUGGGGUUCUAGGUUAUCCCACACAGAUAGAAACAGAACAGGAUAAAGCAACUUCAGUACUAACCUGGAAAUAAAAUCACUGUCUUUCAUUUCCAAGUGAUCAAUGAAACAAAGAUCUCUAUUUUCGGUUUCCCCCUUUGAUUCAUUUAUCCCUGACCCUGGCCCUCUCUGUCACCCAUACCUUUCCAGAAUUUCUAGCCUACGAUCCAACCAGAGUGAAAGCCACAGGGGACAGAACGAGCCGAGGAAUAUCUUUUCCUGAGGGACGCAGAAAGAUCAAACCACAAAAAUAUAUAACAAACACUUGGCGGCACGACAUGCCAAGGAGCGCCCCCUUGAGGACCGUUCUCCAGCACUUGUCACCCCACACACGCCUUGAGGAUGUUAACUUUGGGUGAAGCAGCACGAGGGGAGGAGAUGCUGUCAAGGGAGAACUCGAGUGGGAUGAGGGAUGAGGUAGGCCUGUCCUGCAGGCUGAGUCGAGCUUCAGACAUGCCCUGGGGUGAGUUACUGCAUCUGUUGGCCCAUUUGUUUCCCACAGUCAGCAAUAAAAAGUACCUUAUAGUAGGGCUGUACUCAAUCAAUAAUCCACAAUAAAUGGACAAAGGCACGGACUUCCCCCGAGAUGCUUCUAGGUUUUCUGCAUCAACGCUUAAGGAAACAAAAGUUCUUCCCACACCACAACAUGGUGGGGGAGGGGCAGACCUUGGAAAACAUUCCAUUCUGACCCACCUAAGCACACUGGUCUUCAUGGCCCGCCGUUGGUUAGCGCCUUAUUUUAGUGCAAAGAAAUGACCUUCAUAAAUAAAUCCUGAACAUAAAUAUUCUUUCUUCAACUCCAGUUUAAAAUGGGGGAGUAAAUAAAUAGCUCGCCUGUUAGAGCCACACAGCCCUGGAGUGAUCUCACGCACGUCUGAGGUGUGCUAAAUAAAUUUCUCUGAGCCUUUGCUACCUCACCGUUAUUGUUUUACAAUUCCUAACAGAAUCAGCCAUUGUUUCUCUGCAAGAGCUAAUAGCAAGGAGGAGGUGGGACCCAUUAAGUCUUUAAAAGCCACUGGGGGGGAAGAAAGUUGCAAAAGAUCAAGAGCCAUGCUGUACAGGCGCCAGACUGCUGGAUCCAGACUACAACACCUACUACUAGAAGGAUCCCAUGCAAGCUCCUUCAUGCCUCCGGGCCUUGGUUUGUCCAUCUAUAAAACAGUAAUGGAGAGCUUUCUUCAAAGAACAGUUACAAUAACCAAGUGAGAUAAUCCGUGCAAAGCACAAAGCUUUCAGAGAAAAGCUAGGAAAGUGGAAAGCACUUGAGGGCAAUACGUUGUUGGUAGAAUCUGCAGUUUCAUUACCCCUGGUCUCAAAACCUGAAGUCCAGAAACAUUUUUGAAUACUGUAUGAUGAUCAGGAGGAGAAUUCCACCUCUGACUUCAUAUUUCAGGACUAAAACUUCCUGCAGGCUAUGUGCAUAAGAUACGUAUGAAAUAUAGAGGGGUUUCAUAUUUCUAUUUAAUCUUGUGCUCUAUCCUCAAGAUAUGCAUGUGUUAUGUAUGUACAAAUAUUAUUUUCUAAAAGCUGAAAUAUAUAUGCAACCUCUAUUAAGACUAACUGUAAAAUGUUAAGUAGCCAAGAGGUAAAUGCUCUACUCUUCCCUGUGUCCUUGUUUGUUCUCACUCUUGCUGUGAUAAAACACUCUCACCAAAGUGGACUUGGGGGGGAAAGGAGUUACUUGACUAACAUUUCCAGGUCAUAGUCCACCAGAGAGGAAAAUCAGGGUAGGAACUUAAGCAGAAACCAUAGAAGAAUGCUCCUUACCAUCUCACUCAUUGGCUUGUGCUCAGCUAGCUUUCUUAGACAGCCCCACCAGCCUAGGGAAUGUGCCACCCACAGAGGACUAGCCCUUCCCAUAUGAACGGUCAGUUACGACAAUCUUAUAGACUGACCAGUGACUAGUAGCCAGUCCAAUCUGGGCAUUUACUCACUCAAGAGUCCCUCUUUGCAAGUGACUCUUGGCCGUGUCAAAUUAGCAAUAAAAGUAGCCAACAUACCUGAAUAAAUCAAGAGCACCAGGUCACGGAAGUCGUGACAGGAGAGGUCUGUUGUAGAGAUGCAGAGCUUCUGAGAAAGCCAAGAGGGAGAGGAACCUACUCAGGAAGAAGCCACACGGAGUUCUGAGAGUUCACAUUCAGGAGCCGUAUGCUGCGGGCCGGCACCGCUCCAGCCAUCUCAUGGAGUAUGGUGGAGGGACCUGGAGGAGAUGGGAGUAACCUCUCCUGAAGAACAGUGACUUUAAACAAUGGGGACAGGAAUGACUCCCUGGCUGGGUGGGGCGGGUUUUAUAAUGAAUAACGCUGAAAUCUGCUAGGGUCUUAAAUGCUGUUAUUUUUAUGUCUUCACUGGGGUUUAUUAACUAUGCAUGGUAAUGGACUACAUUAUGCCGCUUAGAUGUUUUUAAGCAAGGGCUUGAGAUGAGCAGCGUCUGUUACUUUGCUAUUUUGGAGCGUAACUCUAAUAGCAGGUUGAAAAAUGGAGCAGAGGAAGGAAAACUUGGCACAAGGGAAGAUGGAGAAGGGAGCCGUCAGAAUCCCUCCGAGGAAGAAGAGAGAGGUGAGGGCGGUGACAGAGGGGCUCCAGCGAUGUUUCCGUGUGGCAUUUGUAGGCCUUGACAGUAGCCGGAUAGGAGAAAUGAAGGCAGAAACCAGGUGGGACCGUGGGCCUGCUACCUGGCAUGACGAAGCUGUUGACUGGGGUGGUGACACUAGGGAAGGACAUUCGGGAUGUAGAACACGCGUUUACAUUUGGGCACGGGCUCCAGAACACCAGCAGAGGAGAGACCUUCCGUCAAUCAGCAGCUUGGACUCAGAGGAAAUUUGACUAUUGGCGCUACGUUAGGGAGUGAUCUGAGAAUAGAUUGCCUAUGGCUGUACAAGAUCCAGACGGUUGAUUACAUGAGAAAUGGUGCUAUAGACUCGAGAUAGAUCUACAGACAAUCACUGGACAGUAGUAGAGCGUGAGGCCACCGAGAUGUCUCCGAAGUUAAGAGUCCUCCUGCAGACGACUCGGGCUCACUUUUCAGCACCCACAUGGUGGCUCACAGCCUAGGGCUCUGUAACUUCUGCUUCAGGGGACCCGCCACUGUCCUCUGACUCUGCGGGCACCAGGCACACAGACAAUGCAGACAAGACACUCAUACACAUAAGAAUCCUUUUUUAAAUUGAAAAGUAUCACAUCUUGAUAUUAACAACCGAAGUCGUUCUUAAUUUCCCUAUCUUUAAAACAGAAGAAAAAUAAUAAGCAUCGUGGGUUUUUCUAAUUAUUCUACAGUUUUUCGGACUCAAAGAGACCGAACCAUCACCUCCAUAGAGAAGUCAAUAAAUUGAUCAUCGUUGUAUAAUGGCAUGACUGCAUUCUUAGUUCCCCUUCGCCAGAUGAAUCGUAUUCCUCCCCGCUCUCUCUAAGGUUAAUUCUGUGCUUAGAAUCCCGAGCACCUCCGUCUUCUCAGUGGCAUCUCGCAGGAGACUUUCCACAGUCUCUUUGCAGAAAGCCUUACUCUACCCUGCCCACUGUCUUCUCUAACAGCGUUUAAACACACCUGCUCAUCUGCCUUGAGGUGCACUCCUUUGGCCCCAUGAUCCUGGUCCAAUUCAUCAUCUCUGUCCUCUUUUAUAACAAAUCUCUUCGAAGACGAUUUUACUAUUUCUAUCUCCUCAUCCAUUUCAAUGCUAUGCCCACCGCGACCUGAUGUGUAGGUGUGUCCUUUAGAUCUUGGUAACUGUCCGUGGCACACGGCAUCAGCAAAGCCAGUGGAUACCUCACAGCGAUGAUUUGACUUCACCUCUUAGCAGCACCAACUUUGUGAGGAAAGCCUACCUCUUUGGGACUCGUAAACUGUUGACUGUUGACUUCUGACUCUGACGCAUCACAUUUCCCAGCCUCUGUGGCUCUCUCUUCCUACAAAGUUGACAGUUUUCUUCUAGCCCUUCUGUGUUAAUUCCCCUAAAUAUUCUCUGCUAAACCCGUUUAUUCUCAAUCGACGCACUUGUGGGGUGAUCUCAUGUUUUCCCGUUCUCCCAGUCCCCCUCGGUAUGCCUAUUGCUCCCGUGUUCUCGAUCUAGCCCAGGACGAGUUCCUGAGCUGUACGUCAGCACGCCCAGCUGUCUUCUAGGCAUCCUUAGUGAGACGUGGCUGGCAAAACAAAACUGAUGUACACAAGUAUACGCACUUCCUUCCCAAACCUGGCCCUGUGCUAACGUAACUUGGCCACCAGACUAUCUACAUAUAUCUCACUUAAUAGACACUCAGUGAUCACCUGUUAACUGAAAUGGGGUGGGAGGGGACAGUCCCAGAAACGGCUCGGGCUUGUAAGUGAUGUGGGAACAGGAGAAGUAGUAAAUAAAACAGGUGACAUUACAAAAUA